CCCCCAUUUGAAACUGGCCCUUGACCUAGGUCAGCAUUGGAGCUAGUUUCGAAUUAUCAACCGAUGCUACCGCAAGAUUACAAAAACAGCAAUAUUAGCAGUAAACAGAUUGUAUUUACAACGGUCUCGUCAAUUCAAAAUACAAUUAAAGGCUAUUCUGGUUUAAAAGGAAAAUUAAGACAUACAGUGGGAGUUACUGCACAUUUCAGUAUGACAAGCUGCUCAGAGCGCCUAAAACAACAAAGUUCUUAAAAAGGAAUAAAGAUAGGAAAGCCAGAACAAGAUGUGGACUGGAAAAAAACAAGCAGCACCCCACUGUCCCAGCUGACAUCCAGUGUGGUCCAAACGUGAGUCCUGCUCUGGAAAGGAAUUGUCAUGCUGCCAGCUCUAGAUGUCCAGGACUGUUGUGAUGGCCAGAAAGUGCCUUGACUGAGUUCCCACAGAAAGCUGCAGGGACUGGGAGACUGUUAAGAAUUGAAGAAAGGAUGAAUGUAGCCAAAAACAGGAACAUCCUAGAAGAAACCCUCCUCUAGAGUGAAUGCAAUCUCAGACAGGGGUGACAGUUUACCUUUCAGCACUUCAAUAACCCAAUGCAUACAGCGACUCCGAACCUGUGUCUGAAUGCCCAGACUUAAACUCCAUCAGGCAUUUGUGAAAAGACCCGAAGAUUACACAUGCACACCAUCCAGUCUGAGCUUGACAGCAUUUCCAAUAAAGAAUAGAAAAAACU